CUUUCAUGGCGUUUGAAGGAGCUGCGGCCAAAAGGGCCAAACUCGUUGCAUCCAGGGUCCACUGGGGCAACACGGGCCCAUGUGUUUCCAUUAUGGACCAGGACACUCACGGAAAUCCAAGUCAGGACAGUGUUGGGAAGUGGCUCAGCACCAAUGUCACUCAGGAAGAUGCAAAGCAAGAGCCACUGCAGGAAGACGCAGGGCCUCUGCAGAGGAACCCCAGCAGUGACGAUGACUUGGCGCUGGGUGUAGAAGGUAAAUAGUGUCAUUUCCUGGACUUGUAAGGCAACAUCAUCAGCAGGGAUUCCUUACAAGCAAACAGAGCUCGCAGUUUAGGAAAAUAAGUCACUGCUUAAUCUUUCAGUGUAUAUCUUUCAACACCAGCAGAAAGUUGCCAGAAUAUCUUGUGUAUUUAUACUGAGGACAGAGUUGCUGUGUUGACACUUCACCACAACUAUCUCAGUGUUUAGCUCAUAGAAAUCAGGACAGACUUCUUCGAGUACAGAUUUCACCGUUUUCAAGUUUAGUCACAAACAUGAACUACAGUCAUCAUAAA
ensembl:lncRNA